CAUUUGUGCUGGGUAAAAAUGAAAAAAAAAUGGGGAAAAUACUGUGCUCAUUUUUUCAUGAAAUUUCUAGAUGGCUCUGCCUUACCUGAUUUUACCUUUACUUGAAUUGGCGGGAAAAUGUAUUUUACUAGUGUUACGAAUAUUGAUGGUUAUUUUUAUUAUAAACAUUAUAAUUACUAUAAUGUUAUAAACAUUAGUAACAACAAAAUAAGAUAAUGCAAAAUAAUUUCGUAAAUUAAAGAAAAGGGUAAACAGGCGAGACAGGCAGUACAAGUACAAGAGUAGCCAUCUAUGUAUGAAAACAAUUAAACAAGUAAACUCAAAGUGAGCAUGUCACGUAUACGUGACAUCCAGUGCGAAUGGGUUAAUAUUUUAAUAACAAUUUAGUAACCAUAUUGUAUUAUAUUAUUAUAUUUAAUGUUGUUAAUACUUUAAUUGCAAUUUAGUAACCAGGUUAUCAAUCAGAAUAGAAAUAGUAUCAAUAUUAGUAAUAUUAGAAAAUAAAAUACAUUUUCUCGCAAAUUCAAGGAAGGGGGAAAUCAGGCUUGUUCAAUAAGGCCUACUGAUAGAAUUCUUGGUGGCUGAGCACAUGUGGAGCUGUUUGUAUGUAACAAAAUUCUCGGAAAAAUUACAGGGAACAAUCCAUAUAAUGCAGAAGUAAUUUUGCAUCUCAAGCUUUUAAUCAUGGAUGUUUAGGCUGAUACUGUUGGAGCCUAAACUUUUUUUUGUCUUAUUCAUUUAUUCAACUCACAUCACACUUGGAGACGGUUACAAGAAGAAACUCUGUGUUUCUGUGAGGAAUUUGUGCUAAAUGUGUUGUUAUUAUUCAUAUAUAUGAUUUUCUUAACAGGCAGGGUGUAGCCUGUUUAAACUUGUAGAUAUUUCUUAUGACUUAUUUCUGUUACUGUUUUUAGUUUGGAAAUUAUUAUUAUUCUUUAUAUUAUUAACCCAUUGCUGCCGGGGAAAAUGGACAAAAAAUGGGGGAAAUGCAGUACUCAUUUUCUAUAUUUUUGUGAAAUAUCUCUGUCCAUAGAUGGCUCUGCUAGUCCUGAUUUCACCUUUCCUUGAAUUGGCGGGAAAAAACGUAUUUUUACAAGUGCUAUAAAUAUAGAUGGUGUUAUUUUUAACAGCAAAUUAGGAAAACGUUAAAUAUUUUCGUAAAUCGAUGAAAAGGGUGAACGGGCGAGAAAGGCAGUAUUCGUAAUUGGCUCAUUGGAUACUUAGUACAAAUGUAGCUAUCUAUGUGUAAAAACAAUGGAACAAGUCAACUCACAGUAGGCAUGGCAUGUACGUACAUGUCAUCCCCGGCGGCAAUGGGUUAAUAUUACUAUGUAUUAAUGAUCAGCUGUCCUCAGUAAUGCUCAUAAUGGCUAGCUUCAAAUGGCAACAUGUGUAUGUGUAUGUGUAUAUAUAUAUUUGUAUAAUGUAUAUACAUAAUUUGAAUUUUUUUCUUUUUAUUCUUUUUUGUCAUUUCUUUUGUAAAAGCAGAUUUUUUUGUGUAGAUGAAAAAUAUGUUUAUAAAUUUCCAUAUUUUGCAUAUUUAUUGUCUAACUUGAGUUAAUUUUGUUAAGACUCAUAUUUUCUUAAUUUCACUUCUCAAAUUUACAGGAACCAAUAUUUUUCCUUUACACAAUGCUGUUGCCUCAAGAAACUUUAACGAAGUUCAGCGUCUACUGGCAGAUGGACAUGAUGUUAAUGAACUACAUUAUGACCGUGUCACACCACUUCACAUGGCAUGCUUGUCAGGAGAUUUGAAGACUACGCAAUACCUUAUUGAGAGGGGAGCAUGGCUGCUCAGACGAGACCUACUCACCCGAGGGGGUAACAGCCACUAGCGUAUCUCAAACAUCCUCGGGUUUCCAGUAUGGAGUGGAGAAGUGCCGUGCCACGUCACAAGUACGCCCGUACGAAAACGCACGUGUGAGGCGUGAGGCGCAAAUCGAAGAGGCCAUAGGUGUGAGGAGAGAGGAGCAAGAUGAAGAAAAGUGAGGAUAAAGCUACAAACGCUCGGACAUUACGUGAGAUAUGUGAAAACCUGUUAACAUUACAAGCGAAUAUUGGUCACAAAGUGCAAUUAAAUAGUGGCGAUUAAAACAUUUAAUUUCUGUUGUAUGAAUUAUUUUGUUGAUUUAUAAUUUUUUUUUUCUAUUUUUAAUAUUUUUAUCUUUAUCAUUUGUUUUUUUUUUUAUCUUUAUCAUUUGUUUUUUUUAUAUCGUGUGUGUGAAUUCAACAAUAAACCUGGAUGGUUA